rnacentral:rRNA from 1 species
AGCGAACGCUGGCGGCAGGCCUAACACAUGCAAGUCGAACGAACCUUUCGGGGUUAGUGGCGGACGGGUGAGUAACACGUGGGAACGUGCCUUUAGGUUCGGAAUAACUCAGGGAAACCUGUGCUAAUACCGAAUGUGCCCUUCGGGGGAAAGAUUAAUCGCCUUUAGAGCGGCCCGCGUCUGAUUAGCUAGUUGGUUGAGGUAAUGGCUCACCAAGGCGACGAUCAGUAGCUGGUCUGAGAGGAUGAUCAGCCACAUUGGGACUGAGACACGGCCCAAACUCCUACGGGAGGCAGCAGUGGGGAAUCUUGCGCAAUGGGCGAAAGCCUGACGCAGCCAUGCCGCGUGAAUGAUGAAGGUCUUAGGAUUGUAAAAUUCUUUCACCGGGGACGAUAAUGACGGUACCCGGAGAAGAAGCCCCGGCUAACUUCGUG